rnacentral:rRNA from 1 species
CGGAUAUUCCUUUUUACAUGGAUAACUGUGGUAAUUCUAGAGCUAAUACAUGAACAAGUGAUCCAACCUCAGCCUGCUGACGGAAGGAUCGCAUUUAUUAGUACAAGACCAAUGAUUCUUAUUCACCUAGAACCCUGCUUGGGAAUUUCGGUUUCCUCGUAAGGAAUAGCAGUGGGGAUCUACGCAAACUGCUUCGGCAUUUGCAAAGCUCAAGAUGACUCUGAAUAACUGAGCAAAUCGUAUGGCCUCUGAGCCGACGAUGUAUCCCUCAAGCAACUGCCUUAUCAACUUUCGAUGGUAGGUUAUGCGCCUACCAUGGUUGUAACGGGUAACGGGGAAUCAGGGUUCGGUUCCGGAGAGGGAGCCCGAGAAACGGCUACCACAUCUAAGGAAGGCAGCAGGCGCGCAAAUUACACAAUCCCGGCACGGGGAUGUAGUGACGAAAAAUAACAAUACGGGACUCUAUUGAGGCCCCGUAAUUGGAAUGAGUACAAUUUAAAUCCUUUAACAAGGAUCUAUUGGAGGGCAAGUCUGGUGCCAGCAGCCGCGGUAAUUCCAGCUCCAAUAGCGUAUAUUAAAGUUGCUGCGGUUAAAAAGCUCGUAGUUGGAUUUCAGUUCAACCUAUGGGGUCCACUGAUACAAGGGUUAGAUGGGCAUGUUAGGGACCUGCUUGGCUUGCUUCGGUUUGAUCAGGCUGGCCCCGCAUACCUCUUUCCUGGUGGCUACUUCCAUAGUGUUGGUACAGAAAUUGCUCGAUAUUUGCUAUCAAUGCUCUUCAUUGAGUGUUGAUUCAAGCGAUCGAGACUUUUACCUUGAAAAAAUCAGAGUGCUCAAAGCAGGCGUACCAAACCUUGAAAGAGGUGCCUAAAAACGGUAUGGUCAACCAUCUUUCAGAUGCGUACUAUCACCUUAACUUGAAUGAUCUUGCAUGGAAUAAUAGAAUAGGACCUUGGUUCUAUUUUGUUGGUCUUAAGAAUCCAAGGUAAUGAUUAAGAGGGACAGACGGGGGCAUUUGUAUUGCGGCGCUAGAGGUGAAAUUCUUGGACCGUCGCAAGACAAACUACAGCGAAAGCAUUUGCCAAGAAUGUUUUCAUUAAUCAAGAACGAAAGUUAGAGGUUCGAAGGCGAUCAGAUACCGCCCUAGUUCUAACCAUAAACGAUGCCAACCAGCGAUCAUUCUGAGUAAUUAUUUACAUGACUCGAAUGGAAGCUUCCGGGAAACCAAAGUUUUUGGGUUCCGGGGGAAGUAUGGUUGCAAAGCUGAAACUUAAAGGAAUUGACGGAAGGGCACCACCAGGAGUGGAGCUUGCGGCUUAAUUUGACUCAACACGGGAAAACUCACCCGGCCCGGACACUGAGAGGAUUGACAGAUUGAGAGCUCUUUCUUGAUUCAGUGGGUGGUGGUGCAUGGCCGUUCUUAGUUGGUGGAGUGAUUUGUCUGGUUAAUUCCGAUAACGAACGAGACUCUAGCCUACUAAAUAGACUUGCAGUUUACACUGCAGUACUCCCCCUUAGUUAACCUGUAGGUGGUAGCAUCUUUCCACGGUUUCGACUAUGGGAAGCUCUGUUAUCAUCAGCCUGCAGAAUUAGCUAGGGUAAGGAUGCUGUAGCACUGUAAGGACUUCUUAGAGGGACAAGCGGCGCUCGCAGCCGCACGAAACAGAGCAAUAACAGGUCUGUGAUGCCCUUAGAUGUCCGGGGCCGCACGCGUGCUACAAUGAAGUGGUCAUCGUGCUUAAGCAUUCCUACUCCGAAAGGAGUGGGUAACCGCUUGAACCCAUUUCGUGAUGGGGAUUGGGCAUUGUAAUUAUUGCCCAUGAACGAGGAAUUCCCAGUAAGCGUGAGUCAUUAGCUUGCGUUGAUUACG